UACGUAGGCAGCGAGCGUUGUUCGGAGUUACUGGGCGUAAAGAGUGCGUAGGCGGUUUUCUAAGUUUGGUGUGAAAUCUCCCGGCUCAACUGGGAGGGUGCGCCGAAGACUGGAAGGCUUGAGUAUGGGAGAGGUAAGCGGAAUUCCUGGUGUAGCGGUGAAAUGCGCAGAUAUCAGGAGGAACACCGAUUGCGAAGGCAGCUCGCUGGGACGUUACUGACGCUGAGACGCGAAAGCGUGGGGAGCAAACAGG
rnacentral:rRNA from 1 species